GAAACAGCCUUGGUCUUACUCUUAUCUUACCCUAGAUGAACUAGCUCUGCUCAGGCCUGGAAUAACAUGGGUGCCCCAAAUUCCACUCAGGAUCUAUCAGCUUCUAUGCAGUAUUCGGGAACGUUAGUUGUGGCAUGCAGGAUCUAGUUUCCCAACCAAGGAUCCAACCUGAGCCGCCUGCAUUGGGAGUGUGGUCUUAACCACUGGGAUCACCAGCAUCUAACCCAGAGCCUGGCACGCACAAGAUGCUCAGCCGCUGUUUGUGGAGUGAAUAAACAAGCCCGGCACUGGAUGCUUGACGCUGCCUCAAUGCUUGGGGCCCUGGGUGUGGACGGAGUGCUGACCGCAGCCCGGCAUCUUCAAGGGUUGCAUGUGGCACCUUGGCUGUCUCAUUUAUAAUCCAUGAGACAGUCAUUGUAUUCCAGAUUGCUCUUCACUGUCAUUUUAGCCUUUAGCUGCUUACUGAAAUGAGCUAAUUAAAGCUGAAUUAUUUUAAU
ensembl:lncRNA